CAACUUUCAACAACGGAUCUCUUGGCUCUCGCAUCGAUGAAGAACGCAGCGAAAUGCGAUAAGUAAUGUGAAUUGCAGAAUUCAGUGAAUCAUCGAAUCUUUGAACGCAAAUUGCGCUCUUUGGUAUUCCGAAGAGCAUGCCUGUUUGAGU
rnacentral:rRNA from 1 species